rnacentral:rRNA from 1 species
CUUAGAGUUUGAUCCUGGCUCAGGACGAACGCUGGCGGCGUGCCUAAUACAUGCAAGUCGAACGAAGCUUUCUUUCACCGAAUGCUUGCAUUCGCCGAAAGAAGCUUAGUGGCGAACGGGUGAGUAACACGUAGGCAACCUGCCCAAAAGAGGGGGAUAACACUUGGAAACAGGUGCUAAUACCGCAUAACCAUGAACACCGCAUGAUGUUCAUGUAAAAGACGGCUUUUGCUGUCACUUUUGGAUGGGCCUGCGGCGUAUUAACUUGUUGGUGGGGUAACGGCCUACCAAGGUGAUGAUACGUAGCCGAACUGAGAGGUUGAUCGGCCACAUUGGGACUGAGACACGGCCCAAACUCCUACGGGAGGCAGCAGUAGGGAAUCUUCCACAAUGGACGAAAGUCUGAUGGAGCAACGCCGCGUGAAUGAAGAAGGCCUUCGGGUCGUAAAAUUCUGUUGUCAGAGAAGAACGUGCGUGAGAGUAACUGUUCACGUAUUGACGGUAUCUGACCAGAAAGCCACGGCUAACUACGUGCCAGCAGCCGCGGUAAUACGUAGGUGGCGAGCGUUGUCCGGAUUUAUUGGGCGUAAAGGGAACGCAGGCGGUCUUUUAAGUCUGAUGUGAAAGCCUUCGGCUUAACCGAAGUAGUGCAUUGGAAACUGGAAGACUUGAGUGCAGAAGAGGAGAGUGGAACUCCAUGUGUAGCGGUGAAAUGCGUAGAUAUAUGGAAGAACACCAGUGGCGAAAGCGGCUCUCUGGUCUGUAACUGACGCUGAGGUUCGAAAGCGUGGGUAGCAAACAGGAUUAGAUACCCUGGUAGUCCACGCCGUAAACGAUGAGUGCUAAGUGUUGGAGGGUUUCCGCCCUUCAGUGCUGCAGCUAACGCAUUAAGCACUCCGCCUGGGGAGUAUGGUCGCAAGACUGAAACUCAAAUGAAUUGAC